rnacentral:rRNA from 1 species
CCAGACUCCUACGGGAGGCAGCAGUGGGGAAUAUUGCACAAUGGGGGAAACCCUGAUGCAGCGAUGCCGCGUGGAGGAAGAAGGUUUUCGGAUUGUAAACUCCUUUUAUCAGGGACGAUAAUGACGGUACCUGAAGAAAAAGCUCCGGCUAACUACGUGCCAGCAGCCGCGGUAAUACGUAGGGAGCGAGCGUUGUCCGGAAUUACUGGGUGUAAAGGGAGCGUAGGCGGGACGGCAAGUCAGCGGUAAAAAUGCGGAGCUCAACUCCGUCGAGCCGUUGAAACUGCCGUUCUUGAGUGAGCGAGAAGUAUGCGGAAUGCGUGGUGUAGCGGUGAAAUGCAUAGAUAUCACGCAGAACUCCGAUUGCGAAGGCAGCAUACCGGCGCUCAACUGACGCUGAAGCACGAAGGCGUGGGUAUCGAACAGGAUUAGAUACCCGGGUAAC